rnacentral:lncRNA from 1 species
UUUUUUUUUAAAUUUAUCAUAUUUUAUUGAAAUCUGUACAUUUGUUAGUUUAAAACAUCAAGUACCGGUACCUUUUCCCGGCCUCGUUAACAUUAGUAAACAUCAUAUUUAUACAGUUGUUAGUAUUUGUUAGUAUUAUACAUUCAAUUUUCAAUAUUUGGAAAAAAAUAAAAAAAUAUACCAUGUCAGUAAUUUCAAAAAGAAAGAAGUUUACUAUUAAGAUUUUCAAACAUAAUUAUCUGUAUAACAAAUGC